GGGUUGUGAGGUUAAGCGACUAAGCGUACACGGUGGAUGCCCUGGCAGUCAGAGGCGAUGAAGGACGUGCUAAUCUGCGAUAAGCGUCGGUAAGGUGAUAUGAACCGUUAUAACCGGCGAUUUCCGAAUGGGGAAACCCAGUGUGUUUCGACACACUAUCAUUAACUGAAUCCAUAGGUUAAUGAGGCGAACCGGGGGAACUGAAACAUCUAAGUACCCCGAGGAAAAGAAAUCAACCGAGAUUCCCCCAGUAGCGGCGAGCGAACGGGGAGCAGCCCAGAGCCUGAAUCAGUGUGUGUGUUAGUGGAAGCGUCUGGAAAGGCGCGCGAUACAGGGUGACAGCCCCGUACACAAAAAUGCACAUGCUGUGAGCUCGAUGAGUAGGGCGGGACACGUGGUAUCCUGUCUGAAUAUGGGGGGACCAUCCUCCAAGGCUAAAUACUCCUGACUGACCGAUAGUGAACCAGUACCGUGAGGGAAAGGCGAAAAGAACCCCGGCGAGGGGAGUGAAAAAGAACCUGAAACCGUGUACGUACAAGCAGUGGGAGCCUCUUUUAUGGGGUGACUGCGUACCUUUUGUAUAAUGGGUCAGCGACUUAUAUUCUGUAGCAAGGUUAACCGAAUAGGGGAGCCGAAGGGAAACCGAGUCUUAACUGGGCGUUAAGUUGCAGGGUAUAGACCCGAAACCCGGUGAUCUAGCCAUGGGCAGGUUGAAGGUUGGGUAACACUAACUGGAGGACCGAACCGACUAAUGUUGAAAAAUUAGCGGAUGACUUGUGGCUGGGGGUGAAAGGCCAAUCAAACCGGGAGAUAGCUGGUUCUCCCCGAAAGCUAUUUAGGUAGCGCCUCGUGAAUUCAUCUCCGGGGGUAGAGCACUGUUUCGGCAAGGGGGUCAUCCCGACUUACCAACCCGAUGCAAACUGCGAAUACCGGAGAAUGUUAUCACGGGAGACACACGGCGGGUGCUAACGUCCGUCGUGAAGAGGGAAACAACCCAGACCGCCAGCUAAGGUCCCAAAGUCAUGGUUAAGUGGGAAACGAUGUGGGAAGGCCCAGACAGCCAGGAUGUUGGCUUAGAAGCAGCCAUCAUUUAAAGAAAGCGUAAUAGCUCACUGGUCGAGUCGGCCUGCGCGGAAGAUGUAACGGGGCUAAACCAUGCACCGAAGCUGCGGCAGCGACACUAUGUGUUGUUGGGUAGGGGAGCGUUCUGUAAGCCUGUGAAGGUGUGCUGUGAGGCAUGCUGGAGGUAUCAGAAGUGCGAAUGCUGACAUAAGUAACGAUAAAGCGGGUGAAAAGCCCGCUCGCCGGAAGACCAAGGGUUCCUGUCCAACGUUAAUCGGGGCAGGGUGAGUCGACCCCUAAGGCGAGGCCGAAAGGCGUAGUCGAUGGGAAACAGGUUAAUAUUCCUGUACUUGGUGUUACUGCGAAGGGGGGACGGAGAAGGCUAUGUUGGCCGGGCGACGGUUGUCCCGGUUUAAGCGUGUAGGCUGGUUUUCCAGGCAAAUCCGGAAAAUCAAGGCUGAGGCGUGAUGACGAGGCACUACGGUGCUGAAGCAACAAAUGCCCUGCUUCCAGGAAAAGCCUCUAAGCAUCAGGUAACAUCAAAUCGUACCCCAAACCGACACAGGUGGUCAGGUAGAGAAUACCAAGGCGCUUGAGAGAACUCGGGUGAAGGAACUAGGCAAAAUGGUGCCGUAACUUCGGGAGAAGGCACGCUGAUAUGUAGGUGAAGUCCCUCGCGGAUGGAGCUGAAAUCAGUCGAAGAUACCAGCUGGCUGCAACUGUUUAUUAAAAACACAGCACUGUGCAAACACGAAAGUGGACGUAUACGGUGUGACGCCUGCCCGGUGCCGGAAGGUUAAUUGAUGGGGUCAGCGCAAGCGAAGCUCUUGAUCGAAGCCCCGGUAAACGGCGGCCGUAACUAUAACGGUCCUAAGGUAGCGAAAUUCCUUGUCGGGUAAGUUCCGACCUGCACGAAUGGCGUAAUGAUGGCCAGGCUGUCUCCACCCGAGACUCAGUGAAAUUGAACUCGCUGUGAAGAUGCAGUGUACCCGCGGCAAGACGGAAAGACCCCGUGAACCUUUACUAUAGCUUGACACUGAACAUUGAGCCUUGAUGUGUAGGAUAGGUGGGAGGCUUAGAAGUGUGGACGCCAGUCUGCAUGGAGCCGACCUUGAAAUACCACCCUUUAAUGUUUGAUGUUCUAACGUUGACCCGUGAUCCGGGUUGCGGACAGUGUCUGGUGGGUAGUUUGACUGGGGCGGUCUCCUCCUAAAGAGUAACGGAGGAGCACGAAGGUUGGCUAAUCCUGGUCGGACAUCAGGAGGUUAGUGCAAUGGCAUAAGCCAGCUUGACUGCGAGCGUGACGGCGCGAGCAGGUGCGAAAGCAGGUCAUAGUGAUCCGGUGGUUCUGAAUGGAAGGGCCAUCGCUCAACGGAUAAAAGGUACUCCGGGGAUAACAGGCUGAUACCGCCCAAGAGUUCAUAUCGACGGCGGUGUUUGGCACCUCGAUGUCGGCUCAUCACAUCCUGGGGCUGAAGUAGGUCCCAAGGGUAUGGCUGUUCGCCAUUUAAAGUGGUACGCGAGCUGGGUUUAGAACGUCGUGAGACAGUUCGGUCCCUAUCUGCCGUGGGCGCUGGAGAACUGAGGGGGGCUGCUCCUAGUACGAGAGGACCGGAGUGGACGCAUCACUGGUGUUCGGGUUGUCAUGCCAAUGGCACUGCCCGGUAGCUAAAUGCGGAAGAGAUAAGUGCUGAAAGCAUCUAAGCACGAAACUUGCCCCGAGAUGAGUUCUCCCUGACCCUUUAAGGGUCCUGAAGGAACGUUGAAGACGACGACGUUGAUAGGCCGGGUGUGUAAGCGCAGCGAUGCGUUGAGCUAACCGGUACUAAUGAACCGUGAGGCUUAACCUUACAACGCCGAAGGUGUUU
rnacentral:rRNA from 1 species